GAUGAUUCUACCUAAAAUAUGCACCAAAUCCAAAGCCACCCCAGCUCUCCUCUGGGUUCGAUGGCCCCUAACUUCUCCCUUCUCUUUGUUCUCCCCUCAGAGGCUGGAGAAAGGACUUGAAAACAAACCAACCUUCAACAACACACACAAAACAAACAGAAAACCCCACAAACAAGCCCUUGGUGCUUCCCUUGACUUCGGUGUACUUAGAAAUGUGACACCAGGCGGGCUGACCUCAGGACCUUUGCACUUGCCACCCUGCCCUGGACACCUCAUCCAGCUCUCCCUGGGGGGACCCCAACGCCUCUCCCUCCCUGGCCCAGCCCCUCACCCCACUUUGGUGGCUGUUUAACUGUCUGCUCCCUCAUCUUUGUUCUUUGUCUCUCUCUUCCCUAGAAUAUGAGCCUCACAGAUGCCAGAACUUUGUCUCCUGGUGCACAGAAGAGUCCCUGGCAGGAAAAAGGGCUCAUAAAUAUUGAUUGGACCGAGGAAUGAAUGAACGCUGACCGUUAUAUCAUUGCUGCUUCGCAGAGGCCGGACAAGGAUAGGUUGAGGCGGGAGCGAGUGUCAUUGUGCCUAAUGAGAAAAAACAACAGUGGCCUAACCCUGCCUGCCUUCUGCCAAAGACCAAAGACCAGUGAGCUUUCUGUCCCCGGCAGGCAGGGCUCAGGCUUCCUGCUGCCAUGGUUACCAGGCACCAGGUUCCAGAAGAAAGGAGAGGCCUGGCUUCCUUGGGUCACCCAGGAUGUGGUGGAGAAAGCACAUUCAAAGCCCAGGCCACCACUGCUUUUCGUGACUCCAUUGUGCCCGGAUGGAAGAAGAGGAGACAGAAGGACUCAGUGUCCUCUAGAAACCCUCCACACUGCCUCCUGGAGGACCUGGCCAGGCCCUGGGCAACUCAAAGAGUCUCCACACAGGUCACCAAGUCACAGGAGCCACUGCAGUGAGCCCUCGCCCAGGAGCAUGGCUGUCCUAGACAGGGACCCGGGGCAGAGAGAGGACACCGGCAGAGGGAAGACACCACACAGGUGAAGGCUGGGAGGACGGUGUUGCGUCCACUGCCAGGCGUGGUAGCACACGCCUGUAACCCCAGCACUGGAGAGGCUGAGGCAGGAGGAACCGAAGCCGGGGUGGACCUGUCCCCAGUCCCCACACACGGAGGCGCCCUGCUGACCCGGACUGGGGGCUUCCAGUCUCCAGGUCAAGGAAGCAAUGCCAGCAAACCAAGACAACUACCAGGAGAGUCACCACCGCCACCAUCACCAAGGGUCGUCUCUACGGAGACUACUGCCAGCCCAGCCACCCUUAGCGCCAUUGUUGGGACCACUCCCCACCGCCAGCACCACCUUGACUCCGCCAGGGCCCCCGCAUGGCCACUGUCAGUCUCAUGUCACUGCCAAAGAAACUGCCAGAAUCUUGGUGGUUUCACAACAGAUUAGAGUAGCCAUGGUGAUGCACACCUGUAAACCAAGCACUCUGGGAGGCUGAGGCAGGAGGAUCACACAGCUUAUGCAAUUUAGUGACUUAACAAGACCCCCCCUCUAAAUAAAGAAUUGAAAAGGGGCUGGAGAAUGUAACUCAAUGCAAAGACCCUGGGGCCAAUCCCUGCACCAUAAAAACACAACAAAACACAGAUAUUCUCUUCCAGGUAGGGAGACUGGAAGUCUAAAAUCCCGGUGUGGGCAGGGCUGUUCUGUGGCCCCAGGUCUGGGAAGGGUCCCUCCUCGGCUCCCCUCCUCUGGUGACACCAGAGGCUAUGGCUUCGUCUCUCAGUCUCUGCCUCCGUCUACAUGCGUGAUUCUCAUCUUUGUCUUGUAUGAGGAUGUUUAGGCCCAGCUAGGUCAUCCAGGAUGAUCUCGCCUCAAGAUCCACAUUCACAUCUGCAAG
rnacentral:lncRNA from 1 species